rnacentral:lncRNA from 1 species
CUACCGUCAUCUACUGUCAUCUACCGUCAUCUACUGUCAUCUACUGUCAUCUACCGUCAUCUACCGUCAUCUAGUGUCAUCUAGUGUAAUCCACCGUCAUCUAGUGUAAUCCACCGUCAUCUAGUGUCAUCUACCGUCAUCUAGUGUCAUCUAGUGUCAUCUAGUGUCAUCUACCGUCAUCUACCGUCAUCUACUGUCAUCUACUGUCAUAUACUGUCAUCUACUGUCAUCUACUGUCAUCUACUGUCAACUACCGUCGUCUACCGUCAUCUAGUGUCAUCUACCGUCAUCUAGUGUGAUUUACAGUCAUAUACUGUCAUCUACUGUCAUCUACUGUCAUCUACCGUCAUCUAGUGUCAUCUACUGACAUCUACCGUCAUCUAGUGUCAUGUAGUGUCAUCUAGUGUCAUCUACCGUCAUCUAGUGUCAUAUACCGUCAUCUACCGUCAUCUAGUGUCAUCUACCGUCAUCUAGUGUAAUCCACCGUCAUCUAGUGUCAUCUAGUGUCAUCUACCGUCAUCUACCGUCAUCUACUGUCAUCUACUGUCAUCUACUGUCAUCUACUGUCAUCUACUGUCAUCUUCCGUCAUCUACCGUCAUCCACCGUCAUCUACUGUCAUCUACUGUCAUCUACUGUCAUCUACCGUCAUCUACCGUCAUCUAGUGUGAUCUACCGUCAUCUAGUGUGAUCUACAGUGAUCUAGUGUGAUCUACAGUCAUCUACUGUCAUCUACUGCCAUCUAGUGUCAUCUACAGUCAUCUGCUGUCAUCUACUGUCAUCUACCGUCAUCUACUGUCAUCUAGUGUCAUCUACCGUCAUCUAGUGUCAUAUACAGUCAUCUACCGUCAUCUAGUGUCAUCUACCGUCAUCUAGUGUAAUCCACCGUCAUCUAGUGUCAUCUAGUGUCAUCUACCGUCAUCUAGUGUCAUCUAGUGUCAUCUACCGUCAUCUACUGUCAUCUACGGUCAUCUACUGUCAUCUACCGUCA